GUUUCCGUAGUGUAGUGGUUUAUCACGUGCGCUUCACACGCGCAAGGUCCCCCGGUUUCGAUCCCGGGCGGAAACG